AUAGUCAGUGAAAGCACAUCUCAGUCGCAAAUUAAACAAAUUAAUUAUAUUGUUACAAACAGUCGUUCCACAGUCCGGAACGUUAUUAAAUUUAGUUGUGCUCACCACGUAGUAAGUGGUAUAGAUAUAGAGCAGGUUAUAAGGCGAAGAACACACAGGAAAUAAUUACCGCUUAUCGUUGUUCAUCGCUGGUGGACCUGAAAAGAGAAGAAAUAGGUUUUCCUGAAAGGUAGAAGGGAUUAGUAGAAGGAUUAGAGAAACACUGAAUAACUUUGUAGCUGCUAAGUAAGCAACUAAAAAGACGGUGUUUGUUUCGACGUCGGGAACAUUGACUAAUGCCAUGGUUCUGAUUUAUGCUGAUGUGAAAAUUUUCUUGCCCAUCAAAACAAAUGACGAUUGUUCUAAAUUACAACUUGACAUCAAAAACAGCAUAUCAAGAAGACUGGGAACACUGCCUGAAAUUGAGCGACAGUUUUGGCAGUGCAAUCUGUUGAGUAAAAGUGGAACUGACGUAUGCUAGUGUGGGUGCUGGCGAUGCGAGUGCAAGCCAAACGCACAGACUGGACCACCACAUACGCACACUCUAUCUUCGCAGCGAUGUAAUUACCAGCACUGUCAUAGCAAACUUCCACCUUUAAUAGAUGGAGUGCGCUGUUUGAUUCGACGCUUGUCAUUUGUAUGGGAUCGAUCCAGAGAUGUCAGUCUUCUUGAUAUGAUGUUUUUGUUGACAUGCAAAGUGUUGAACAAUUCUGCUCGGAUAGUGGUCUAAACGUCAACACUGAAAAAUGUUCAGUUCAGUUAUGAUACGAUUUGUUGACAAUAUUAUUGCAAAAAAGUGUUCAUGCUUGUGAUGGUUGCAAUUUCCGUUGUGUUUUAGCAGUCUGAUUUAAAACACUGAGUUGUGAUUUCCGUUGAUUUGAAAAAAAAAAUUAAAGAAAACUGUUAAGUUCUUGUGGAUUAUGCGUUAAAAUGCGGUGCCAAGUGAAACGGUGUGGCAGAAGCAAGAAAACCCACCCACACUUUUCUUUUCAUCGAAUUCCUAACGAUUCGAAAUUAUUAACCGAAUGGAUAAAAUUUUGCAACGUGAGCGAUGGUUGUGUUCUCACAGAUGCAAUGAGAGUAUGCAGUGUAUGAGUGGAAAUCAAAUUUGUUUAAUUUCACAAAUACAGUAAUUUUGAACAUUUCAUUGUUUUAGAUGCAUUUUGACAAGAAUGCUUUUGUGCCGGGUGGAAGUAAGUUGAACAGGUCGUUAGCCAUUCCAACUGUUCCUGCAUAUCAAGUCAAAGAUGAAUCGGAUGACGAAGCUUACCCUGCGAGCCUCUCGAUAUCAUUGCCAUUGUAUUCCUGUCCGUCACUGGCGGACACACGCAGAUUUUAAAUCAAGCAUUGAAGCAAUUUCGAAUUCGCAUGACUCGGCCAUAGAUCUCGCUCGUUGCGCCCCUCGCCAUAGAUGAUCAAGCAAUCUUGAUCAUCAAAGAGCCGAGCAGUAACCCUUCCGAAGGGCAGUCAUCAGGCCCUUAUCGUUGCGCGAUCGUUGGUAGAAAACGGUCCAACGUCAGCAGGUAGUUAAUGGGAGGUAUCAUUUAAGUACAUCACGCAAUAUUGAAGAAAAGACGCGCUGCUUUUUUCUAUGCCUUUUUGUUAUAAGAAAAAAAUAUUUAUAACAGUGGCAUAUUAUAUUAAUAUCAGAGUAGGAACCGCUCAUUAUCAGUAUAUAUGAAAUACCUAAUACAUUAUAAACCCUUCAAUUUCUUACAGCGUGAUGUACUAAAUGACCUCAUGAAAUGAUGUAAUGUUCUGCAAAGAGUAAAUAUUGGUAUUUAUAAGAUAUAUUGCAAAAAGAAAAUAUUCAAAUGCGCAAGUUAACAUCAAAAUUCCGGUCAGAUCAGCUUUCCCUGGCUACAGAAAACACGAAACAAGUGAAAAAGUGGUUAGAUGAAACCAUCACCGAGGGAUUGCGGCAGACUUGGUAAAAGCACCGCUCCGAGCCGCUCGGUGACAUCGCCAAAUUCUAGGCACCCCUCACCACGAGCGUAUUAUCUUUUCAUGCGACAUUCGCAGCAAGCCCCAGCUCGGCGCAAGAGCUAAGAAGCUACGAAUGCAGUGCCGUAACCUUUCGUUCGUCACCGGGAGGCACAUACACAUUGAACGUUCAUCUUUUUCGUUCUGUUUUGAACCGCCAGUGCGUCAGGUCGGCCGGACUGAGGCCGCUCGCGCACGGCAUUCGAUGUUUACUCUGCUGCAGUGCUGCUAUGGAUUGAUGAGCAGGGAGGGAUGAUGGCUGAGUGUUUGCUUGUGUAUGUAGUUGAACAUGAUUUUGCAUUGCCGUUAUUCGUUUUGAUGUAAUUCUUAUUUGAUGUGGCUUCUAAUAAAUCAACAUGUCUUGCUCUUGCAAUCCGCCAACUUGGAUGAUGCGUGGUUUGUACUUUUUAGUAAACAAGUAUACGACUGCUUACAGUACCGACACUGAUUCAUCCAAAAUAAUAUUAUCAUUUCAACAGCGUGAUAUUUACUCGCAUGAAAAAAUUAAUCUAUUGAUUUAUAACAAUGAAUGCAAUACGAGUGAUAUCAUCUACCUUCGUUACGGAUCGUGAGCUUACUGCAUUUCGUAUAUGCUAUUUGUAAUCAAGAUUAUGCUUUCAUCAAUCAAAAGCUGUUGUUAUAAACGUUAGUCAAUUUGAUGAUAUUUGAGAUUUGAUAAAUUAAUAGUUUUAGCGAUAUAAGUAGAUUAGCGUUGUUUUUUUUUAUUUGCAUUACAUUGACUGAGCCGGUAACAUUGUGAUGGCAAACAUGUGUUUUUCAAUUCGGCUAUUAUUAUUUGCGUUAAAAGUGGAACAACUCUAAAAUUGAGUAACUCCACAAAUCUCAAAACUAAAUAACACUAGGCGUCUUUAAAUAUGAGUCAUUGUUACUCAAAAUUUGAGUACGACAUAACUCAUUUUUUGGGUACAGUUCAGUUUCAUUACUGGCUAGAAAUCCGCCACGACCAAUAAACGACACCAAAUAUUCAUCAAUAAUUAUACCUUGUAAUAAAAGUAAACAGUUAUAAUGCCCUCUGAGGCGCACACAAUUAAAAAGCAUA